UAGAAUAACAUCUCUAAAGCAUACAGAGCAGUCAGUUCACAAAUAGCUCUCACUGUGCUUUGAUGUCGCCGAUCAGUCUGCGAUCAAACAUCAGUGGCACGAGUGUUCACCGGUGUUGUUCCGCUCGCGCGGAAUUCAAAAUAACGGAUCGCAACAACCUCUCGACUGUCCCAUUGGAUAAUUUUCAGUAUUUUCCAGUUGAGCAGCAAAAAAAUGGGCAACCAAGGCCAACAGACCCAGCCCACCCUGAUGCUCAUCCUUGCACUGCCUGGGACACCUAAGGCCAACAGGCGCAGCUCCUGUUCUCUUUUUGCCAUAAAUACAUAUCUACUGUAGCAAUGCAAAAUUGUGAAA